rnacentral:snoRNA from 2 species
AGACCGUGAUGUGGGCAUUUCCUUAAUAGCUCCUUGAACCUUUCCCAUGUCUCGUACAAGGAUUCCCCGUCUUUGAGAGUAGGUGUUAAUCUCGGUCAUGAGUUU